rnacentral:rRNA from 1 species
UACGGCUACCUUGUUACGACUUCACCCCAAUCAUUUAGUCCCACCUUCGACGGCUAGCUCCAUAAAUAGGUUACUCCACCGGCUUCGGGUAGUUACAAACUCUCGUAGGUAGUAGACGGGCAGGUAGUAGUACAAGACCCGGGAACGUAUUCACCGUAGCAUGCUGAUCUACGAUUACUAGCGAUUCCAGCUUCAUGUAGUCGAGUUGCAGACUACAAUCCGAACUGAGAACAACUUUAUAGGGAUUUAGCAUGACCUCGCGGUUUAGCUGCCCUUUGUAUUGUCCAUUGUAGCACGUGUGUAGCCCAAAUCAUAAGGGGCAUGAUGAUUUGACGUCAUCCCCACCUUCCUCCGGUUUGUCACCGGCAGUCAACUUAGAGCGCCCAACUAAAUGCUGGCAACUAAGUUUAAGGGUUGCGCCUCGUUGCGGGGACUUAACCCAACAUCUACCGACACGAGCUGCGACACCACU